AACGAACGCUGGCGGCAGGCUUAACACAUGCAAGUCGAGCGCCCCGCAAGGGGAGCGGCAGACGGGUGAGUAACGCGUGGGAAUCUACCCAUCUCUACGGAAUAACGCAUGGAAACGUGUGCUAAUACCGUAUACGUCCUUCGGGAGAAAGACUUAUCGGAGAUGGAUGAGCCCGCGUUGGAUUCGUUAGUUGGUGGGGUAAAGGCCUACCAAGGCGACGAUCCAUAGCUGGGCUGAGAGGAUGAUCAGCCACACUGGGACUGAGACACGGCCCAGACUCCUACGGGAGGCAGCAGUGGGGAAUAUUGGACAAUGGGCGCAAGCCUGAUCCAGCCAUGCCGCGUGAGUGAUGAAGGCCCUAGGGUUGUAAAGCUCUUUCACCGGUGAAGAUAAUGACGGUAACCGGAGAAGAAGCCCCGGCUAACUUCGUGCCAGCCGCCGCCGUAAUAC
rnacentral:rRNA from 1 species